UAGCUCAAUCGGUAGAGCGUGAGACUCUUAAUCUCAAGGUUGGGGGUUCGAGCCCCCC
rnacentral:tRNA from 1 species